rnacentral:rRNA from 1 species
AUGGAGCUCGCGGCGGCUCUGCACGGCGCCGUGCUGGCCACGGCCACGCUGGCCCUCGCCACCUUCGUCUACUUCCUCCACGCGGCGUGGCUGUCGCCGUCGGCCACGCGACGCCGCCUCCGCUCGGUCGGCUUCGGCGGCCCGGCGCCGAAGUUCCCGCUCGGCAACCUCCCCGAGAUCGCGGCCUCGCUGGCUGAGAGCAACGGCACGUUACCGGCGGGGGCGGGGGUGACCAGCGACAUCCACGGCGCCGUCUUCCCCUACUUCGCGCGGUGGCGCGCAGCGUUCGGCAAGGUGUUCGUGUACUGGCUGGGCGCGGAGCCGUUCCUGUACGUGGCCGACCCGGAGUUCCUCAAGUCCGCCACCGCCGGCGCCAUGGGCCGGCUCUGGGGCAAGCCCGACGUGUUCCGCCGCGACCGCAUGCCCAUGUUCGGCCGCGGGCUCGUCAUGGCCGAGGGCGACGACUGGGCCCGCCACCGCCACAUCAUCGCGCCCGCCUUCUCCGCCACCAACCUCAACGACAUGAUCGGCAUCAUGGAGGAGACGACGGCGAAGAUGCUGGGGGACUGGAGCCAGGCGGUGGCGGCGGCUGGCCGGAGCGCGGGGGCAGUCGUAGAUGUGGAGCGGGGCGUGGUGAGGAACGCGGCGGAGAUCAUCGCCAGAGCCAGCUUCGGCAUCGGCGACGAGGGCGGUGCGAAGGUGUUCGAGAAGCUGCAGGCCAUGCAGACGAUGCUGUUCCGCUCCAACCGCCUCGUCGGCGUGCCGCUGGCCAGGCUGCUCCACCUCCGCAAGACCUACGACGCGUGGAAGCUCGGCCGCGAGAUCGACGCGCUGCUGCUCGACAUCAUCGACUCUCGCCGCGGCCGCCAACACGAUGCCGGCGGUCAGGAGAAGAAGAACACGGACCUGCUCUCGCUGCUGCUGGCCGGGAACGACGAGGCGGGGGAAGCAGGGAAGAAGAGGCUGAUGACGAGCCGAGAGCUGGUGGACGAGUGCAAGACCUUCUUCUUCGGCGGGCACGAGACGACGGCGCUGGCCGUGUCAUGGACGCUGCUCAUGCUCGCGGCGCACCCGGAGUGGCAGCGCGCGCUCCGGGACGAGCUCCGCGAGGUCACCGCCGACGGCCCCCUCGAUGCCGCCGCGCUCUCCAAGCUCACCAAGAUGGGGUGGGUCCUCAGCGAGGUGCUCCGCCUCUACCCGCCGUCCCCCAACGUGCAGCGGCAGGCCCUGCAGGACGUCGCCGUCGACGGCGCCGGCACGACCAUCCCGCGGGGCACCAACAUGUGGGUGGACGUGGUGGCCAUGCACCACGACGAGGCGCUGUGGGGCCCCGACGCGAACGAGUUCCGGCCGGAGCGGUUCGCGGCGGGCGCGCAGGGCGGUUGCCGGCACCGCAUGGGGUACCUGCCGUUCGGGUUCGGCGGCCGGAUCUGCGUGGGAAGGAACCUGACGGGGAUGGAGUACCGGGUGGUGGUGGCCAUGGUGCUGCGGCGGUUCGAGCUGGCCGUGGCGCCUGAGUACCGGCACGCGCCGCGUGUCAUGCUCUCGCUCCGGCCGUCCGACGGCGUCCAGCUCCUCCUCGCGCCGCUGCACCAACACACCAAAUAG